UACAGAGGUGGCAAGCGUUGUUCGGAAUUACUGGGCGUAAAGGGCUCGUAGGCGGCCAACUAAGUCGGAUGUGAAAUCCCCAGGCUUAACCUGGGAACUGCAUCCGAUACUGGAUGGCUUGAAUCCGGGAGAGGGAUGCAGAAUUCCCGGUGUAGCGGUGAAAUGCGCAGAUAUCGGGAAGAACACCCGUGGCGAAGGCGGUUCUCUGGGACGGUACUGACGCUGAGACGCGAAAGCGUGGGGAGCGAACAGG
rnacentral:rRNA from 1 species